UUGACGGGGCCCGCACAAGCGGUGGAGCAUGUGGUUAAUUCGAAGCAACGCGAAGAACCUUACCAGGUCUUGACAUCCCGAUGCUAUUUCUAGAGAUAGAAGUUACUUCGGUACAUCGGUGACAGGUGGUGCAUGGUUGUCGUCAGCUCGUGUCGUGAGAUGUUGGGUUAAGUCCCGCAACGAGCGCAACCCCUAUUGUUAGUUGCCAUCAUUCAGUUGGGCACUCUAGCGAGACUGCCGGUAAUAAACCGGAGGAAGUGGGGAUGACGUCAAAUCAUCAUGCCCCUUAUGACCUGGGCUACACACGUGCUACAAUGGUUGGUACAACGAGUUGCGAGUCGGUGACGGCGAGCUAAUCUCUUAAAGCCAAUCCCAGUUCGGAUUGUAGGCUGCAACUCGCCUACAUGAAGUCGGAAUCGCUAGUAAUCGCGGAUCAGCACGCCGCGGUGAAUACGUUCCCGGGCCUU
rnacentral:rRNA from 1 species